GGGGCUGCCUAUGGGGCCAUACAGGCUGUGGGGCUGCCUAUGGGGCCAUACAGGCUGUGGGGCUGCGGCUCUGUGGGUCAGGGGCUGCUGGGCCCCAAAUUCGGAGCCUUGGGAUCAGCCCGCUGUGGGGUUCUGUGCCCCAUAGAGCUGAUCCUAUAGACCCAAUCCUACAGUCCUGAUCCUAGGGCCCUGAUCCCAAUAGCCCUGACCCCAUAGCUCAGAUCCUAUAGCCCCAAACCUAUAGCCCUGACCCCAUAGCACAGAUCCUAUAGCCCUGACCCCAUAGCACAGAUCCUAUAGCCCCGAUCCUUUAGCUCAGACCCUAUAGCCCAUAUCCUAUAGCUCAGACCCUAUAGCCCUGAUCCUAUAGCUUGGAUCCUAUAGCUCAGACCCUAUAGCCCAUAUCCUAUAGCUCAGACCCUAUAGCCCAUAUCCUAUAGCCCCAAUCCUAUAGCCCAGACCCUAUAGCCCAUAUCCUAUAGCCCCGAUCCUAUAGCCCAUAUCCUAUACUCAUAUCCUAUACUCAUAUCCUAUAGCUCAGACCCCAUGGCCCCAUAUCCUAUACUCCGAUCCUAUAGGCCUGAUCCUAUAGCCCAUAUCCUAUAGUCCCAAUCCUAUAGCCCAUAUAUCCUAUACUCGGAUCCUAUAGCUCCGAUCCUAUACCCCAUAUCCUAUAGCCCAUAUGUCCUAUAGCUCAGACCCCAUAGCCCCAUAUCCUACACUCGGAUCCUAUAGCCCAUAUCCUAUAGCCCAUAUCCUAUACUCAGACCCCAUAGCCCAUAUCCUACACUCGGAUCCUAUAGCCCAUAUCCUAUAGCCCAUAUCCUACACUCCGAUCCUAUAGCCCCAUAUCCUACACUCGGAUCCUAUAGGCCCGUCCCUAUGGGGUGGGGGGGGCAGCUCCUACGUGGACGUUUCCGACUCCAACUUGCGGCCGGUCCGACUGCGGCCUUAAAGGGACCGCGGCCCUAAAACCCACAACCCCACAUCGCCCCCCCACAACCCCACAGACACAGCGGGGAGAGCCGCCCCACAUGGGCCGCCUUCCUGGGUGACAUCGCUCUGGACGAGGAGGACCUGCAGCAUUUCAUCCCGCCGCCCCCCAGCCCCAUCUCCAGCCCCAUAACAACAACCGGCCCCAUAACAACCACCAGCCCCACAACCACCCCCCGCCCCACAACCCCCCAGCGCCGCCGUCGUGCCGCCACGUCCCGCCCGGAGCGGGUCUGGCCCGAUGGGAUCAUCCCAUACGUCAUCAGCGGGAACUUCAGCGGCGCGCAGCGCGCCGUGUUCCGCCAGGCCAUGCGACACUGGGAGCGUCACACGUGUGUCACGUUCCUGGAGCGCAGCGACCAGGACAGUUACAUCGUGUUCACGUACAGGCCCUGCGGGUACGGGAU